AAAAAGACAAACCCUAGUUUCCGUGUCCAACGUUUGACCGUCCAUCUUAUUUGAAAAAAUUAUGAAAAAAAUUUAAAAGACAAGUCACGCAUAAAAUAUUAAUCAUGUUUUAUCAUCUAACAACAAUGAAAAUACGAAUUAUAAAAAAAAUUCAUAUAAGACGGACAGUCAAAGUUGGACACGAAAACUCAAGGUUUGGCUUUUU
rnacentral:pre_miRNA from 1 species